CACUGCGCUGGUUGGAUCGGAUUAACAACAGCGGCGCAGGGUGAGUCCCCAACUGUUGGAUAGGUGCUGAAACAGGGGAAAGGGUGGCGAAGCCAGAGCCCUUGCAUCGAACGUCUGGCGGGU
rnacentral:sRNA from 1 species